AUUGGUUGAAGCCUGCUUACUGAGAAGGUGUGUUCUGUAGCUAGAGACCCUAAAGUUAGUUGGCUCUGGCUCUGCAGCCAUGCACUGGGAGUAGUGUCCCUCUGCCAGACAGGGACUGAUGGAAUGCUGCUCAGCAGUGAUUCAGAAGAGGGACAGAAGCACUCGGCAGUCCACACCUAUAGGCAUCAUUGUGUAACAGAGAGCCCAUGGCUGCUUCUAAUGAGAAUUCUACUAAUUUUGUGGAAGAAAUUAACCUACAUUAGGGCCAAAGUUGUUGAUGUUCUGUUUAGUCCCUCCUUAAUCCCUUGGUGUUUUUAGAUGUGAGAGAACUUUUUAAAUUGGCAGAAAGUUUUUAGUGUCUUGAGCCUCAUCUCUUCUCCCUCCAAACUGAUGAAGGAACAAAAGACAACCUUAUACAGGUUCCACACCCAAACAAAAUUUAUCAUAGUUCGACUGACAGGUGUAUGCCAAGAAAGUCUUUCUAUUCUUUUAAUUCAGAAAUUGUUUAUUGUUUAGUGGUUCAGUAAUUAACUGAGAAAAGUCACGAAAAUAUUGUUUUCUGAUUCAAAAAUUGGGUGCUCUGGACCACUUGUGCCCUGAAGGCUAGUAGGAACCUGAAUUCUAAGGAGGUAUCUGUGACUUUCAAGACAAGAUACUUUUAAACUUAAUGCCAAGGUAUUAAAACUUCCCUGCAUUGGCCUUCUCUGAUCUCUC